AGCAGCAUGGCGCAGUUGGAAGCGCGCGGGGCCCAUAUAUUCUGUGGAUGCCACCCCGAGGUCACUCGAUCGAAACGAGUUGCUGCUA